rnacentral:rRNA from 1 species
UGGGGAAUAUUGCACAAUGGGCGCAAGCCUGAUGCAGCCAUGCCGCGUGUGUGAAGAAGGCCUUCGGGUUGUAAAGCACUUUCAGCGAGGAGGAAGGUGGUGAGCUUAAUACGCUCAUCAAUUGACGUUACUCGCAGAAGAAGCACCGGCUAACUCCGUGCCAGCAGCCGCGGUAAUACGGAGGGUGCAAGCGUUAAUCGGAAUUACUGGGCGUAAAGCGCACGCAGGCGGUUUGUUAAGUCAGAUGUGAAAUCCCCGGGCUCAACCUGGGAACUGCAUUUGAAACUGGCAGCUAGAGUCUCGUAGAGGGGGGUAGAAUUCCAGGUGUAGCGGUGAAAUGCGUAGAGAUCUGGAGGAAUACCGGUGGCGAAGGCGGCCCCCUGGACGAAGACUGACGCUCAGGUGCGAAAGCGUGGGGCAGCAAACAGGAUUAGAUACCCUGGUAGUCCACGCUGUAAACGAUGUCGAUUUUGGAGGUUGUGCCCCUUGAGGCGUGGCUUCCGGAGCUAACGCGUUAAAUCGACCGCC